rnacentral:misc_RNA from 1 species
AAGUCGUAACAAGGUUUCCGUAGGUGAACCUGCGGAAGGAUCAUUACUGAAGGGGGAUAUGUGGGUUGGAGGGUAUGGUGUGCUGGUUGUGGUGUAUGCCAGUUGAUCAGCGACAUCCAUGCAACCUCCCCCCACAACAUUUGCUCGGGCUGGGAGUGAUUGAGGAAAGUGUGCUUUGCUUGUUGUAUACACCUUGCACUUGCACACCCUUCAAUCUCGACCACCCAGACAUUCACGAGUGUUGUGUGUGACUGUGUAAUAAAUGAUGCAUUAUUAUGACAACUUUUAACAAUGGAUCUCUUGGCUCUU